rfam:Triticum aestivum genome assembly, contig: Triticum_aestivum_CS42_TGACv1_scaffold_645519_T_7AS-0.066550_1AL-0.035050
AUUCUACUCCCUCCGUUGCACAAUACAUGCCUUCUAUUUGUCACAAUAUAUAUGUAUCUAGACAUGUUUUAGUAUAUAGGUACAUACAUUUUUGGACAAAUGGAAGUCAAGUAUUUUGGAACGGAGGGAGUACACA